AAUUGUCUUCUUUUUAAUUUAUUCUAUUUCGAUAAGUAGAAUUUUAUGUAAUCAAGAAAGAUAUCAAAUAGCUACCUAUUCUAUUUUAUAUUAUUUGUCUAUUUUUUUUUUGGUAUACAUACUCUUUAAGAAAUCAUAAAUACGAAGUAUAUUUUUCUUAAAUCAAUUUACCUUUUAACCCUUUUUAAUACAAUGAUUU
rnacentral:lncRNA from 1 species